rnacentral:rRNA from 1 species
AGCUCCAAUAGCGUAUAUUAAAGUUGUUGCAGUUAAAAAGCUCGUAGUUGGAUUUCUGGUAGGAGCGGCCGGUCCGCCCCGUAAUGGGGUGUGCACUAGAGCCGCCUCCGGCCAUCCUUGGGGGAACUGCCAUGGCCUUAAUUGGUUGUGGUAUGGAACCCAUCGUUUACUGUGAAAAAAUUAGAGUGUUUAAAGCAGGCUUAGGCCGUUGAAUACAUUAGCAUGGAAUAAUAAGAUAGGACCUUAUGGACCUCUUGUUGGUUUGCGCCGUAAGGUAAUGAUUAAUAGGGAUAGUUGGGGGUAUUCGUAUUUAAUUGUCAGAGGUGAAAUUCUUGGAUUUAUGAAAGACGAACUUCUGCGAAAGCAUUUACCAAGGAUGUUU